rnacentral:rRNA from 1 species
CCUACGGGGGGCAGCAGUGGGGAAUCUUGGGCAAUGGGCGCAAGCCUGACCCAGCAACGCCGCGUGAAGGAAGAAGGCUUUCGGGUUGUAAACUUCUUUUGUCAGGGAAGAGUAGAAGACGGUACCUGACGAAUAAGCCACGGCUAACUACGUGCCAGCAGCCGCGGUAAUACGUAGGUGGCAAGCGUUGUACGGAUUUACUGGGUGUAAAGGGAGUGUAGCCGGGUUGUUAAGUCAGAUGUGAAAUCCUGCGGCUUAACCGCAGAACUGCAUUUGAAACUGUGGAUCUUGAGUACUGGAGAGGCAGACGGAAUUCCUGGUGUAGCAGUGAAAUGCGUAGAUAUUGGGAGGAACACCAGUGGCGAAGGCGGGCUGCUGGACAGCAACUGACGGUGAGGCGCGAAAGCGUGGGGAGCAAACAGGAUUAGAUACCCCAGUAGUC